AUUAAUUAAAUGUAUAUUUCUCGACUCUCGCAUCGUAGCGUCCGUCAACAUACGCAUUGUCAUUCACAACCGACAAGAACCGCCCAUUCAGGCUAGUGCUUCUGACUGACAUGUAAACUGGCCAACCAUCGAUGAGAAGCAACGCGUCUGUACGAUCCAGCCAAUGAAAUUAAAUAUUUUGGAGCCAGGUGUUUGUUGAUGAUGUGUAAGUUAGUAAUGAAUGAGUAAAAUUGAUACAACAGCUUCAGCAGAUGCAAAUGCAGGGUGUCAAUGCUGAUCACAAUGCUGUUCAAGAUGAUAUACCAGGAUAUAUUUCUCAGAACCAGGGAUGUGCCACUGCAGCUGACCUUGAGAGUUCACUCUCUAUACCUGCAACUCCUCGUCUGAUACUUCUUGGAGAAACGGGAAGCCGCUUCCAGCGCUGGAUGCUCAGCCUUGAGGGCCAAAUUAUUUGCGAAGGGAAGGGAUCCAGUCCACCUUUGUGACAGGGCUGGCGUCUCUUUUUUCCUGUUUUUAUAACUUUAACCUACAGUAUCAAGAGGAGGCAGCCUGCACGCUUGAAUUCAUCCAGAGACGCUUUGUGGGUAUAAAUCCAGAAAAAGGGACAAAGACUGCAAAGGGGAAAAAAAGAAGAACUGUUAAUUCACACGUCGCCAGCCUCUUGCGCAAGCUCAUGGACUUUCAGUGGGAUUUCAUUUGAAAAUGACCCAAGACUUUCAGAAUGAAGAUGAAGAGUUCCAUUAAGUGUUAAGUACUGGUUUUAUUGUAUUCAUACAUGUUGAAUUUUAGUGGUUUAAGUGUUGAGGUUCAGUAUUUUGUUAUAAUGAACAAUGUAUUGGAGUUUAAAAAUGUAAGUGUAUUUGCUACUUUUUAAGCUGAGAAAAUGAGAUUUGUUUGUGAAUAAUCUGAGCCUAUGUGUAACAUUUUUAGGUAACCAGGAGUCAGUGUAUAUCCUUGGUUUGAGUUUUUUUAGCCAAAUGUUUGCAGUUCAGGGAACAUUAAAUGUUGAGGUUUAGGGCCCUAUCUUGCACUGACGCAGCGCAAAGCCAAACGCAAGUGUCUUUGCUAGUUUAAGACAAGACACAGUUGUUAUUUUCCACAGAUGUCAGCAAUGAACAUAUAUAUUAUAUACAGUAUAUUUCUGUGAUUGGUCUGAGCCAUGUAUUCCUACAUUUUGUGUGUUUGUAUUACAAUAAAAAAGUUAAUUUCU